rnacentral:rRNA from 1 species
AGCGGUAGCACAGAGAGCUUGCUCUCGGGUGACGAGCGGCGGACGGGUGAGUAAUGUCUGGGAAACUGCCUGAUGGAGGGGGAUAACUACUGGAAACGGUAGCUAAUACCGCAUANNNUCGCAAGACCAAAGUGGGGGACCUUCGGGCCUCAUGCCAUCAGAUGUGCCCAGAUGGGAUUAGCUAGUAGGUGGGGUAACGGCUCACCUAGGCGACGAUCCCUAGCUGGUCUGAGAGGAUGACCAGCCACACUGGAACUGAGACACGGUCCAGACUCCUACGGGAGGCAGCAGUGGGGAAUAUUGCACAAUGGGCGCAAGCCUGAUGCAGCCAUGCCGCGUGUGUGAAGAAGGCCUUCGGGUUGUAAAGCACUUUCAGCGGGGAGGAAGGCGANGAGGUUAAUAACCUUGUCGAUUGACGUUACCCGCAGAAGAAGCACCGGCUAACUCCGUGCCAGCAGCCGCGGUAAUACGGAGGGUGCAAGCGUUAAUCGGAAUUACUGGGCGUAAAGCGCACGCAGGCGGUCUGUCAAGUCGGAUGUGAAAUCCCCGGGCUCAACCUGGGAACUGCAUUCGAAACUGGCAGGCUAGAGUCUUGUAGAGGGGGGUAGAAUUCCAGGUGUAGCGGUGAAAUGCGUAGAGAUCUGGAGGAAUACCGGUGGCGAAGGCGGCCCCCUGGACAAAGACUGACGCUCAGGUGCGAAAGCGUGGGGAGCAAACAGGAUUAGAUACCCUGGUAGUCCACGCCGUAAACGAUGUCGAUUUGGAGGUUGUGCCCUUGAGGCGUGGCUUCCGGAGCUAACGCGUUAAAUCGACCGCCUGGGGAGUACGGCCGCAAGGUUAAAACUCAAAUGAAUUGACGGGGGCCCGCACAAGCGGUGGAGCAUGUGGUUUAAUUCGAUGCAACGCGAAGAACCUUACCUGGUCUUGACAUCCACAGAACUUUCCAGAGAUGGAUUGGUGCCUUCGGGAACUGUGAGACAGGUGCUGCAUGGCUGUCGUCAGCUCGUGUUGUGAAAUGUUGGGUUAAGUCCCGCAACGAGCGCAACCCUUAUCCUUUGUUGCCAGCGGUUAGGCCGGGAACUCAAAGGAGACUGCCAGUGAUAAACUGGAGGAAGGUGGGGAUGACGUCAAGUCAUCAUGGCCCUUACGACCAGGGCUACACACGUGCUACAAUGGCAUAUACAAAGAGAAGCGACCUCGCGAGAGCAAGCGGACCUCAUAAAGUAUGUCGUAGUCCGGAUUGGAGUCUGCAACUCGACUCCAUGAAGUCGGAAUCGCUAGUAAUCGUAGAUCAGAAUGCUACGGUGAAUACGUUCCCGGGCCUUGUACACACCGCCCGUCACACCAUGGGAGUGGG